GCCCGGGUGGUCUAGUGGUAUGAUUCUCGCUUAGGGAAAACCCAAGCAAAUCUGCGAGAGGUCCCGCGUUCGAUCCGCGGCUCGGGCC
rnacentral:tRNA from 3 species